rnacentral:rRNA from 1 species
GCGUAACGCGUGGGAAUCUGCCCUGGAGUGGGGGAUAACCGAGAGAAAUUUCGGCUAAUACCGCAUACGACCUGAGGGUGAAAGAUUUAUCGCUCUUGGAGGGGCCCGCGUCGGAUUAGCUAGUUGGUGGGGUAAUGGCCUACCAAGGCAACGAUCCGUAGCUGGUCUGAGAGGAUGAUCAGCCACACUGGGACUGAGACACGGCCCAGACUCCUACGGGAGGCAGCAGUGGGGAAUAUUGGACAAUGGGGGCAACCCUGAUCCAGCAAUGCCGCGUGAGUGAUGAAGGCCUUAGGGUUGUAA